rnacentral:rRNA from 1 species
AGAGUUUGAUCCUGGCUCAGGACGAACGCUGGCGGCGUGCCUAAUACAUGCAAGUCGAGCGAGUCUGCCUUGAAGAUCGGAGUGCUUGCACUCUGUGAAACAAGAUACAGGCUAGCGGCGGACGGGUGAGUAACACGUGGGUAACCUGCCCAAGAGAUCGGGAUAACACCUGGAAACAGAUGCUAAUACCGGAUAACAACAGAUGAUGCCUAUCAACUGUUUAAAAGAUGGUUCUGCUAUCACUCUUGGAUGGACCUGCGGUGCAUUAGCUAGUUGGUAGGGUAACGGCCUACCAAGGCGAUGAUGCAUAGCCGAGUUGAGAGACUGAUCGGCCACAUUGGGACUGAGACACGGCCCAAACUCCUACGGGAGGCAGCAGUAGGGAAUCUUCCACAAUGGACGCAAGUCUGAUGGAGCAACGCCGCGUGAGUGAAGAAGGGUUUCGGCUCGUAAAGCUCUGUUGUUGGUGAAGAAGGACAGGGGUAGUAACUGACCUU